UCCCUGGUGGCUCAGAUGGUACAGCGUCUGUCUACAAUGCAGGAGACCCGGGUUCAGUCCCUGGGUUGGGAA
rfam:Ovis aries breed Texel chromosome 1, whole genome shotgun sequence.